CCAGAAGCUAGAUGAAUGCAGGCUCUCAGGAGAGGAAUCUAGGCUGGGGAGUAUAGAUUUACCAGGCGUUUGUUUAAAGGGAGUAGAGGACAAUAUAAGAUAGCCAGUGCGUGCAGGUGUGGGUGAGGAGAGACAGACCCGGGAGACUCGAGUCAAGGAGGGAGGGCUUAGGAGGGGUGAGAAGGGUGACAGAAAGAAAGCAGAGCAUGAGUCCAAGGAGCCAAGGGAAGACAGCAUCACAGAAGAGCAAGUAACCACAGUGCAGAAAAACCAGUUACGUAAAGUUCUGAGCAAUGCCCAGCGCCUCUAUAAACAAGCAGGUCCUUGGUGACCGCGACCGGAGACCUGUGUGGGGUGCCAGGUUGCAGGAAAUCGAAGAAUGAGUGGAGAACGAGGAAAAAGACAGUGAGUGGAGGCAAAUCCCAUUAGAAGCUUGUCUGGGAAGAGGGAGAAGAGAAGUAAAUGUAUUCCAGUCCUCUGAGUUCACCACGGCCACAUGCCCACAUGUGCUCUUUUCUCUCAUUGGAAUGGCUGCUUCUGAUUCUGCCCAUUUCACCAGGCUGGAAACUCAGAGUCAUCCCUGAAGAUGGCCACAAGUCACCUCCUUUCUGAUGCCCUUUCCUCUCCACUUCCAGGGAAGAAGCAAGACAUGAAAGGAAGCUACUCCAGGCCUUCGUGGUCCAGGUACAUGACUGCAGGAGGUUGGAUACAUGGAGCUGAUGCUUCCAAACCUUUAAGCUCUGUCUGGUAGAAGUCAGAUAUGGACCUCAUGGGGCUAAAAGCAGAGCUGUAUUUGUUCCCUGAAGCUCCUAGGGAAGACUCUGGGUGCUCAUCUGCUUCUACAGGACGCCUGUAUCCUUGGCUUGAGGUUCCCGGCUUCCCUCUUGAAAGCCAGCAAUGAAUUUCAACAUUUUUGAGAUCUUCCCCUUUUCCUAUGAAGACUUCAAGAGGAAAUGAGUGCUGAACUGGGAGUCAGUAUUGUGUCUCUCCUUGGGUGAGACACUCAGCUACACAGAAGAUGAGUAUUCCUUCUUGAAGUAUAAAAUAAGGAGUUGUUGAAUGUUUCUAAAUUACUUCUGGCUUUGGGGGGGGGCGGUACCUGGGCUCGAACUCAGGACCUUGUGCUUUUGAGGCAGGCAGCAGAACCACUGAGCUAAAUCCCCAGCCCAUACUUCUGGCUUUUGAUAAUCAAGGGACAGCCGGGGAUUUAGCUCAGUGGUUCCGGCACCUGCCGCGCAAGGUCCCAAGUUCAAUCCCUGGUACCAAAAAAAAAAAAAAAAAAAAAAAAAAAAAUCAAGGGACAAAAAUUUAAAAUUUUCAACCAUUGGGAAAGAAGAUAGUGUUAUUCAAAGAUCAAAGUAUCUUGAAAAAACUGUUCCUAGAUGAAUCCUGACCUGUGAUAUGGCUGCAGGUGAAAUCUUGCAAGAAAAGGAGCUAAUGUUACUGGAAACUUGAGAGUGAGAAUCCUUAUCGUAUAGUUCAGCAGUGAUAUUGUCUCCAGCAACUGUAGAGUAAAAAAUUAGUCUAAUGCCCUGAGUGUCUAGCUAAGAAGAUUUCCAAGCAAAGAUUUCUUCUUAUUUCUUAUAGCACAAUGUGAGAGGAAGAAUGUUAAGCGAAAAGGAAAGAGAAUUUGCAAGUUUUGAAAAUUCUCAGUCUCUGUAAAUGGCAAACAAUGCUGAAAUUAACAUAGCACCCCUGAGUAAAAAUUAAAUUCAAGACAGUGCCAGGUGGUCCAGGCCCGUAGGUGUAGCUCAGUGGUGCUGCACUUGCCUGGGGUGGGUGUGGCUCUGAGUUCAAAGCCUCUGAAUUUGAUCCCCAGCACCCAAACCAAAACAGAGCAAAACAAAGCAAAACAAAAUGUGGCUCAAAGAUAAAGCUACACAUGUGACCAUAUAAUCUUUUGUCACAAUCUCAGGAAGAUUUAAACUUGUACUCCAGGGUACUCUUUAGUCAAACAAAGAGUCUUCUAAAGAAGUUAAAGGUGUGCCUCAAAUACUCUCAAUAAAAUGAUGGUGCAAACUGGGGGUAGGGCGGCUCAUGCCUGUAAUCUCAGUGCUCAGGAGGCUGAGGCAGGAGGAUCACUGUGAGUUUGAGGCCACCCUGGGCUACAUAGUGAGACCCUCUCUCAAAUAAAACCAAAAUAAAUAAAAGUAAAUUACAUGAUAGUCCCUCAUCAGAAGCCCAAGGAAGAGGGCCGGGGGUUUAGCUCAGUGCCACCACGCCUGCCUCACAAGCACAAGGUCCUGAGUUCGAUCCCCAGUACCAAAAAGCAAACAGAAAAGAAGCCCAAGGAAGACAAGAGCGUUCCUGAAAAAGAUCUGUGGGUGUAGCUUCUGUCUAAUGGAGUGAACCCUAUUAAAAUCACAAAAACUUCUUAAAGUUUGUAAAGAAGUCUAUGUGAAGAAAGACUGACACCUUGGAAGGGGAGGAAAAAUAAAAAGAAUUAAGAUGUGUUAUGUACAUGUGCCAUCUCUCCAUGAUGAAUAUAAUCUUGUACUAGAAGCAUGUACUAAUAAAAAUUUAAGAAGAAAUAUUGCUGCCUUGAACCAAAAGAGGACUUUGGACUCUCAAAGUUCUACUAGUUACAAAUGUGGACUAUUCGUCUUGAUAAAGGAAGGAUGAUUCAGAAGACCAAACCAAGACCCCAUAACCUGAAGCAGAGAGCCAGGGAGAAUUAUUCCCUGGUCUUUAAACUUAAGGAUCUUUCAAUAUUUGCUCAGCAGAAUUUCAGAACAAAAACAGACCAGCACUCCUUUGCGCCUGCCAUUUGCCUACUUUUUGAGCAGAAAUAGCUGCAGCCUUACCUGUCACACCUGUCUCCUCUCUGUAUGAGGCUGUUCGGAGUGGCAGAUAAGUUAUCGCUCUAGUUCACAGGUGCAUAAGAGCUGUACUCAAGGAGCUGCACUUGAGGAACUCCGUCCGAAGAGCCUCAGCUGCUGCUGGACUUGACUGAGAUGAUGAGAUUCUGGGCUUCAAGUGGAUGCUGUAAUGAGAUAAGAGUUUUGGUGACUUUGGGAGGAGGUGGAUGUAUUUAUGCAUGGGAGAUGGAUCACUGGGGACCAGGGGGUGGGCUGUGCAGGUAGCCUCCAAGAUAGCCAUGAUCCCACCUUUCAGUGUUCACACCUUGAAUAGCUCCCUCCUGCUCUGUAUCACAAUGCAUCUGUGUGACCAACCGCAUGUAGAGGAAGUGAUGGUGUGUUACUGCUGAGACCAGGAUACAAAAAGACUGUGGCUUCCAUCUGAGUACCUCUUUUUCUCAAUCUCUC
rnacentral:lncRNA from 1 species